rnacentral:rRNA from 2 species
CCCACCUGAUCCCAUGCCGAACUCAGAAGUGAAACGCCGUAGCGCCGAUGGUAGUGUGGGGUCUCCCCAUGCGAGAGUAGGACACUGCCAGGCA